CUAUUACAGAGGGCUGAGGGACAUUUGGGUGGGGGUUGAGUAAGUAUGGAGUGAGUUUAUAGGGGGAAUACCUUGGGAUAGUUUGGAGAGGAUGGAGGUAAAAUGUUUGGAGGGGGGUUGGGCAAAAUGAUUGGGUUUUUUUAGGGGAAAAACUUGGGUUAUGGGAACAGUGAAUGUUGCUGAGGUAAAAUCUGAGGUAAAUUAGAAAUAGGAAUACAGAUGAACCGGGAGGAAGGAAGCUGGAGUACUGUAGAUAGCACAGCUUAGGUUGUGCAAAAAGACUGAGGUAAGUUUAGAGGAAAAAGAGGUGACUUCUGAGGGGAAAGUCAGGUAACUCGGAUGGUGUUUCUUCAUGGAAAAUCUGAGCACCAGUGGAGAAGAAAGAAGAGGCAAGAAAAAGAUAAAGACUGAAAUAAAAUGACUUUCAAACUCUCUUCACUGUACAGUAACUACAACUAUAGCUGUAGACUAGCAGUGUGGUAGCACCUUGAAUGUUUUAUGGUGGAAGAUGAUAUUAGUGCUUUCUAAACUCACACUGCUAUAGUGCAUAACACCAGAAUGUUAUCUGAAAUUGGAGUAUGACAUUGUUGCAUUGCCCCUGGUCGUUUUAUUACAGUAGCUUGGUGGCAGUAGAGGUUUUUGGCUGGCCUGGGGUCAUACUGGCUCAUCGCCGUGAUGCUUAGAGGUGAUGCACUGUGGUGUGAUUGUGCCAGUUUUAUGGUAGGUGAUGUUAAUAUGAAUGUGGCUGUGACACAGUAUGGAUCUCACGGUACAGCACAGCUCCUUUGUAAUUUCUGUAGUAGUUGGUGUUGCUGCAGUGUGUCAUAGUGAUGGUUGUUUGGAAGAAGUGUAUUGACAGCACCUGAUUUUGGAGUUACUUAUUUUAUCCUCAGUUCAAACAUCAGGAGAUCUAUACUAGAAGGUGUGGGUGCAGUGCAGCCAGUAUGGUGCUGAUAGGCUAUUGCUUCAGAGGAGCAAAGCCCUGCUGUCAACACUAAAACGUGCUGCAGUUUGUAAGCAAAGCUGUCGUGGAGUGCAG
rnacentral:lncRNA from 1 species